rnacentral:rRNA from 1 species
AGGAAACGAGAUGUCGACGCGCCCACCCUCCGGGGAGAGGCGUCCGGCCCUCCGCGAGCACUCUCGGGGGUUCGGGUUCCGGACCCGGUCCGAUCCCGUUCCCACCGCGGGGCUGUCCGCGAUCAUGGAGGUGUCCUCGGACGGCGUCGAAACGCUCGAAAGUUCUCCGGUCCGCGACGCUACCGCUUGGAUGGUCCACCCGACCCGUCUUGAAACACGGACCAAGGAGUCUAACAUGCGCGCGAGUCGUUGGGUCGGACACGCUCCGCUAAACCCAUAGGCGCAAUGAAAGUGAAGGCCGCCGUCGGGGCGGCCGAGGGAGGACGGGGCCGCCCGGGAGCUCCGGCUCCCGUCGGUCCCCGCACCCCCGGGGCGUCUGAUCCCUCAACGCGAGGGGAGGCGCACCCAGAGCGCACACGUUGGGACCCGAAAGAUGGUGAACUAUGCCUGGCCAGGACGAAGUCAGGGGAAACCCUGAUGGAGGUCCGUAGCGAUUCUGACGUGCAAAUCGAUCGUCGGAGCUGGGUAUAGGGGCGAAAGACUAAUCGAACCAUCUAGUAGCUGGUUCCCUCCGAAGUUUCCCUCAGGAUAGCUUGCGCUCGGAGGAGAGUCUCAUCCGGUAAAGCGAAUGAUUAGAGGCCUUGGGGCCGAAACGGCUUCAACCUAUUCUCAAACUUUAAAUGGGUGAGAACUCCGGCUUGCUCGACCGAUCGAAGCCGGAGACGGGGUCCGUCCCUCGGGGCGGGCCCCCGGGAUCGGAGUGCAUAGUGGGCCACUUUUGGUAAGCAGAACUGGCGCUGUGGGAUGAACCAAACGACGGGUUAAGGCGCCCGAAUCGACGCUCAUGGGAAACCAUGAAAGGUGUUGGUUGCUUAAGACAGCAGGACGGUGGCCAUGGAAGUCGGAAUCCGCUAAGGAGUGUGUAAUAACUCACCUGCCGAAGCAACUAGCCCUGAAAAUGGAUGGCGCUGAAGCGUCGUGCCUAUACCCGGCCGUCGCGGCACGGCGGACCCGGCCCCGCGUCGGGUGCCGCUCGAUGCGGCGACGAGUAGGAGGGUCGCGGCGGCGAGCGCAGAAGGGUCUGGGCUCGAGCCUGCCUGGAGCCGCCGCCGGUGCAGAUCUUGGUGGUAGUAGCAAAUACUCCAGCGAGGCCCUGGAGGACUGAUGUGGAGAAGGGUUUCGUGUGAACAGCCGUUGCACACGAGUCAGUCGAUCCUAAGCCCUAGGAGAAAUCCGACGCCAACGGCGACGGGAAAAAAAUAAAUUUUGAAAUGAAAACGACCCGUUGAUCGGGCGAAAGGGAAUCCGGUUCCUAUUCCGGAACCCGGCAGCGGAACCGCUGUUUGUCGGGCCCUCAAAAGGGGUUCGUCAGGGUAACCUAAAAGGGCCCGGAGACGCCGUCGGGAGCCCCGGAAAGAGUUUUCUUUUCUGCAUGAGCGUUCGAGUUCCCUG